AAUAAAUGAGUCCUACUCCUACACCUACUCUUAUCACUUGUAAUCCAAAAAAGCUCCAUUUCUUUCUUAUACGCUAAUUCACUAUUAAAUAUAAAUGUAUAUGCAAAACAGCGAGAAAUUUGUAGAUACGUUGGAUGUUGUUGCUUUCACAUUUGCAACUCUUAGUAGUUGUUCAAAACAACAAUGUCGAGCAAAGAUGUUUGCGAUGUUUGAAUGAUUCUUGGAUUGUAUUUGGAUUCCAUCGGUACUAUGGCCUGUUGAUUCGGCACCUUUGUCAUUUUAGCAACUUUUGUUUUCUUUUCUGUGUCGAUGUAGUUCUCUAUACCAUAUUCAUGUUCAUAUCAAUGUCCAUAUCAAGAGGUCCCAUGUUCCAUUACAUAUCCCGUGUUCUUUCCUUCUUCCAGCUUUUACAUGCUAGCCUUUUAUACAAUGAUUCCUCUCAUCUCGACUCGUUUGAUGAAUGGGCGUUUAGUUUUUGCAACAACAUAUGCGUUGGGUUAUCUCAUAUCCGGGAAACACUUUCUGCCACUUUUAACUUGAACAAAGUNGGAGAAAUAAANUGAUGGCACGAUAUUGCAAGUUGUUUAUGGUGUGCCNUGUAGAAAUGUAAAAACGCUAUGUUUCGNGAAUGCCCANGCCCGUNAAUCGAAAUAAGNAUCUCCNUAUCUAUUANGCNUUGGNAGANCACCACUGNAAAAAACACNNAAACGGGUNGGNCNCCUCNCACGNCGUUCNCCCGNUANUCCCAANCAUGNAAACCUAAUAUACCGGUAACCUUNGCACCUAUUAAGANAANCGCCCCCAAGUGGACUGNAAUUAANNAU
rnacentral:sRNA from 1 species